rnacentral:rRNA from 1 species
GACGAAGGGGGCUAGCGUUGUUCGGAAUUACUGGGCGUAAAGCGCGUGUAGGCGGUUUCCAAAGUCGGGUGUGAAAGCCUUGAGCUUAACUCAAGAAAUGCACUCGAUACUUGGUGACUAGAGGACCGGAGAGGAUAGUGGAAUUCCCAGUGUAGUGGUGAAAUACGUAGAGAUUGGGAAGAACACCAGUGGCGAAGGCGGCUAUCUGGACGGUUUCUGACGCUGAGGUGCGAAAGCGUGGGGAGCAAACAGG